GAAAGAUUCAUCGGAAGAGGAUGGGCAUGCGGCGCAUUAGCUAGACGGCGGGGUAACGGCCCACCGUGGCGACGAUGCGUAGGGGUUCUGAGAGGAAGGUCCCCCACACUGGUACUGAGACACGGACCAGACUCCUACGGGAGGCAGCAGUGAGGAAUAUUGGUCAAUGGGAGAGAUCCUGAACCAGCCAAGCCGCGUGAGGGAAGACGGCCCUAUGGGUUGUAAACCUCUUUUGUCGGAGAACAAAACCCGGGACGAGUCCCGGACUGCGUGUAUCCGAAGAAAAAGCAUCGGCUAACUCCGUGCCAGCAGCCGCGGUAAUACGGAGGAUGCGAGCGUUAUCCGGAUUUAUUGGGUUUAAAGGGUGCGUAGGCGGUCCGUUAAGUCAGCGGUAAAAUUGCGGGGCUCAACCCCGUCGAGCCGUUGAAACUGGCAGACUUGAGUUGGCGAGAAGUACGCGGAAUGCGCGGUGUAGCGGUGAAAUGCAUAGAUAUCGCGCAGAACUCCGAUUGCGAAGGCAGCGUACCGGCGCCAGACUGACGCUGAGGCACGAAAGCGUGGGGAUCGAACAGGAUUAGAUACCCUGGUAGUCCACGCAGUAAACGAUGAAUGCUGGUUGUCCGG
rnacentral:rRNA from 1 species